rnacentral:lncRNA from 1 species
UUGCUCUACGCAGUGCGUUUCAUCGAUGAGAAAACACCUCCCGCCCCACCAUGCAGCACAUAACUCGGAGCAGCGUACCUCCCUCCGCGCAUCCAGAAACCUAAAGAGCAAAUCGAAUCGUAUUUUGUCCCUCUGUAUUUACGAAGACUCAUUUGCCAGCUUCUCUAAUCCACUUUAAAGAAAAAAUAGAGAAAGCGUUUGUAGAAGUCUUCCGAGCUUCCAGUCAGCAUCCCAAGGCAUUCUCCGGGACCAGAGUGGACAGGGGAAGGACAAAUGCAAGUGCAUAUCCUACAGAUAAGCAUCAUUUAUAUUUAAUUACUUAGCCAAAAUUUUGAGGAGGAGGAUGAUGAUGAUGACGAAGACAAUGAUAGUGAUAUCAACUACAAAAUGGUGAUGGUAAUGGUGAUACUCUGGAAUCCACUAGAGAAAAAUCUAACAGCUUUCACUUGAGUGAAGCUGUAUAUUGGAAAAGGAAUGCAUUAGACAUCUGUGCCAUGCAAAUCAACAGCCUUAGGAAAUGACUAACCAUGCCAAGAAAUAAAUCUAUAAAGAAUUCCUUAUCAUUCAGGGAGGAUCCUGAGAGAGCCUGUUAGUAUCACACUUUUGCAGCCUGCUUCUUUGUGGCAGUCCACUACUGAAAAAAGUCACCAGUGCUGUUUCCCAGAUGUCUCUAGUUCUCUACCUUUCAGGAAUGGGAGAUUGUGCUCUCCAGCUCUCUUGUGGUUAGAGCAGGCAAGAGUUCUGACCAAGGAUUUGUACACAGAAGUAAUGUGUAUCCCUUCUAGACUAAAACAUUACAUCAAAUGUGAAGGAAGCCCCUUCCUUGUGUCCUUCCUUACCAGGGCCACAAUGGCCAGUGCUCAGGAUGGUGGCUGCUCUGUCCAAGUAAGGUGGGUUCCAGAGUGAGAUGACAUGGAGCCCAGCCAAAGAAAUAUAAAUGUAGCAUGAGUGAUAAACCAUCUUUUGUUGUUCUAAUCCUCUGAUAUAUGGGGGUUUAUCUGUUUGGUGGCAUGGCAUGGCAUAAUCUAGUUUAUCUGAACCAAUUCAGCAGUACUACCCAGAAAUGAGGAGCUGCUAUAACCAAAAACCUAAAAUUUGUGGCAUUGGAUUGGGGCCAAAUGAUGUGCAAUGAAGAAACUUUACAAGCAAUCCAUAUUACAAGUGGCAAAAUAUUUGAAAAUUGUUGCCUGUGACAGCUUAGAAGCAGAUAAAGUCCCUGAAACUUGCAUAUCUGAGAGGAGGUUUGAAAACAGAUUGUUAGUAUUAUACAGUGACUACUGUGGGCUGCGUCUGGCAACAUAGUACAAGAUACUGAUGUGCUCAGAAAAGAAUUGGUCACUUAGCAAGCAGAGGUGGAAUGGGCCAGAGACAGUCCAGAAAUGUGGGGAUCUUGAGGAUUGGCAGUGGCAACUGCCUCCCAUCACCCCCCCUCAGAAAGUAAACAAAAAUUAAAAGACCUCUGUGUACAAAAGGCUGAUUAGGACUCAGGUUUGCUGAGGCACAAUCAAGCUGAGGGCAGUCAUGCCCAUUGUUAAUACCUCGGAAUGUAAUAAGACGUUUUAGAGCAAAAACUGAUUAUAGUUGUGGCUCCCACUCCUGCAUACCACACCACCACCACCAAAAAAGAAAUCAUUUUAAUUGGACAAAGUGGCUUAGAAACAGAGGAUGAAGAAGAGACAGAGAAAGAGCGAGAAACUAGAAGUGUAACUUCCCACAGAAAACUGAUAGACUCAAAUUAUGUUCAUCUCAAGAAGAACUAUGGGUGUGGUUAUUGACUAGUGGCACAUAGAGCUGCCUAGAACAGAUAAAGAAAAGCCCAAGAUCAUUUUAAGAUAGCCAUACUCAAAGGAACAUGACCUGGACUGAACCAUUCAUUGCUCAGUCUGUUCAGGACCUGAAACAAUCCUUCGCCCCUAAAUUUUUAUGUUCAAGAACCUGGCUGAGAGAGCUACUUAGUCCCCAAGGAAGAGUACCAGCAGCAAUGCCUAUUGCAGAUGCAACCAACAAAGAUAACAGAGAAAAAGGAA